GUCAGCAGCUGUAGCAGAUGCUGUCAACGGCCCACCCUAUCUCCGUGGUCCACCCUGGAGCUUGGCUGCUGACGGCUUCCUGCACUUUUGAAGCCUCAGGGUUUCUCUGGCCACAGCGGCCAGCCUGGUCCUGCUGGGACAGAGAUCCAGGCGUGUGAAAUCAAGAAUGUGCAACGGGUGUUCUGAAGAUAGAAGUCUGAAAUCAAGGUGUUGGCAGGACCAGGCUUUCUCUGAGGAGAGAAUCCUUCCAUGCCUCUUCCUGGGUCCUGGUGUUUGCUGACAUAUCUUGUCAUUUCGGGCUUGUAGGCACAUCACUCCAAUCUCUG